rnacentral:rRNA from 1 species
GAUGAACGCUGGCGGCGUGCCUAAUACAUGCAAGUCGAGCGAACAGACGAGGAGCUUGCUCCUCUGACGUUAGCGGCGGACGGGUGAGUAACACGUGGAUAACCUACCUAUAAGACUGGGAUAACUUCGGGAAACCGGAGCUAAUACCGGAUAAUAUAUUGAACCGCAUGGUUCAAUAGUGAAAGACGGUUUUGCUGUCACUUAUAGAUGGAUCCGCGCCGCAUUAGCUAGUUGGUAAGGUAACGGCUUACCAAGGCAACGAUGCGUAGCCGACCUGAGAGGGUGAUCGGCCACACUGGAACUGAGACACGGUCCAGACUCCUACGGGAGGCAGCAGUAGGGAAUCUUCCGCAAAGGGCGAAAGCCUGACGGAGCAACGCCGCGUGAGUGAUGAAGGUCUUCGGAUCGUAAAACUCUGUUAUUAGGGAAGAACAAAUGUGUAAGUAACUAUGCACGUCUUGACGGUACCUAAUCAGAAAGCCACGGCUAGCUACGUG